UACCCGACCCACCUCUAUCCCAGUGGGGACGGGUUUAAAUCCGAUCCAAAGCGGGAGGAGUAUCAAACGGGGCGAGGUGCUGAGCAGGGUGGGAUCGGGUUCACCCCUUCCAUUCUAGAUAACCUCACCGCAGCUAACCCUCCCCUCAGACUGCAAGUCUCCAACGAAGUGAACGAACCCAGCCAAGCUCCACUCGCUAUUCACCUCGCCAUUCCACUCGCCGUCCCUCACUGCCGCCGUUCCGUCACUCACCUGGCCAUUCAACUCACGAAGCACACCACUACCGUCGCUCACCAACCCUCCUCACCGAGCUCACGUUGCUCCCACUUCUCUCGUUGCCGCCUCACCUCUCCGAUCUGCGGUCUCCGGUCGCUGCUCACCUUGUCGUCCCUCCUUCCUCCCUCGUCGUCUCACUACAGCAGUGCUUUGUCUUCUCACUAAUUAGAAGCAGAUCAUGGAGACUUCUCAAAUUUUCAAAUUUUUGAACCUGCCUCCUUUAUAUGUUCUUAUUUAUUCGGUGUGUAUAAAUAUAACAAGUGUACUUUUAGGGGUGGACUUUUUCAAAUUGGGAGUGGAGGCUAGAUGGACAUUAUACAUUGGGGAUGUAGCAAUAUCUAAGGAGGAGAUUUGGAUUGGGAAUUACCAUUUUGAUUGGAUAGAGGGCAAAUAGGCAUUUUUAUGAGAUAAGGGUGUUAAAUAUUUCGAAUUCAAAACACAUAGGGAAUUGAUUUAGAUGAUGUUUUGGGAUAGGUGGUGUUAAGACUAGAAAAUUUUGUUUGUAGGGAUAAGCUUUUUAUUUUGGAAUGUUUGGUGCAUUAAUUCUUCUGAUGCAAAAGCCUAUCAUCUUUGGAGUGGAGGCCAGGAGGGUUCCUUCUCCUAGCGACGGCAGAGAAUCGAUAACAGCGAUUGUGUACCACAAAUCGAGCAGAGCGUAAAGGAAGACGCGCCGGCAUAACAAGUGAAGAAGGAAUUUGCAUCAAUGAUGGAGUGGCAUAGUAAGAUCGGUAUCAAAUCCGUCGUGAGUGGCUUGGAGGUUUCACAAAUAAAGUAAGAGCCUUGGUAAACACAUUUGAAAUUUCCUUUUGAACAUGCUAUGUUAAUGGGGUUCAAUAUAAAUGUAAUGGAAGAAGGAAUACUGUGGAUACAAGACAUUCAUUACUGGGAAGCAUUGUGGGCAAAAAGUGGGGGUUUCAAGGGAAAUGAGACAUUCAUUUACUCCAUUUUUUCGAUGGAAGUAUUUUGGUUGUGCCAAGAGACGAGAAAUUUUCAG